rnacentral:rRNA from 1 species
AAGGAAGGCAGCAGGCGCGCAAAUUACCCACUCCCGGCACGGGGAGGUAGUGACGAAAAAUAACGAUACGGGACUCAUCCGAGGCCCCGUAAUCGGAAUGAGCACACUCUAAACCCUUUAACGAGGAUCAAUUGGAGGGCAAGUCUGGUGCCAGCAGCCGCGGUAAUUCCAGCUCCAAUAGCGUAUAUUAAAGUUGUUGCGGUUAAAAAGCUCGUAGUCGAAUCUGUGUCUCGCGCCGCCGGUUCAUCGCUCGCGGUGUUUAAUUGGCGUGUCGCGGGACGUCCUGCCGGUGGGCCCCGUCUCCUUCGGGGGGCGGCCCUACUACAUCCUGCCUCGGUGCUCUUUACUGAGUGUCUAGGUGGGCCGGCACGUUUACUUUGAACAAAUUAGAGUGCUUAAAGCAGGCUAAAACUUCGCCUGAAUAUUCUGUGCAUGGAAUAAUGGAAUAGGACCUCGGUUCUAUUUUGUUGGUUUUCGGAACCCCGAGGUAAUGAUUAAUAGGAACGGAUGGGGGCAUUCGUAUUGCGACGUUAGAGGUGAAAUUCUUGGAUCGUCGCAAGACGGACAGAAGCGAAAGCAUUUGCCAAAAACGUUUUCAUUGAUCAAGAACGAAAGUUAGAGGUUCGAAGGCGAUCAGAUACCGCCCUAGUUCUAACCAUAAACGAUGCCAGCUAGCGAUCCGCCGACGUUCCUCCGAUGACUCGGCGGGCAGCUUCCGGGAAACCAAAGCUUUUGGGUUCCGGGGGAAGUAUGGUUGCAAAGCUGAAACUUAAAGGAAUUGACGGAAGGGCACCACCAGGAGUGGAGCCUGCGGCUUAAUUUGACUCAACACGGGAAACCUCACCAGGCCCGGACACCGGAAGGAUUGACAGAUUGAGAGCUCUUUCUUGAUUCGGUGGGUGGUGGUGCAUGGCCGUUCUUAGUUGGUGGAGCGAUUUGUCUGGUUAAUUCCGAUAACGAACGAGACUCUAGCCUGCUAACUAGGCGUACAUUCGACAUCUCAAAGGCCCCACGGCCCGUCGCUUCGGCGGCGCGGUCGCGCGCGGUUUUUACUGUCGGCGUACAAUAAAUUCUUCUUAGAGGGACAGGCGGCUUCUAGCCGCACGAGAUUGAGCAAUAACAGGUCUGUGAUGCCCUUAGAUGUUCUGGGCCGCACGCGCGCUACACUGAAGGAAUCAGCGUGUCCUCCCUGGCCGAGAGGCCCGGGUAACCCGCUGAACCUCCUUCGUGCUAGGGAUUGGGGCUUGCAAUUGUUCCCCAUGAACGAGGAAUUCCCAGUAAGCGCGAGUCAUAAGCUCGCGUUGAUUACGUCCCUGCCCUUUGUACACACCGCCCGUCGCUACUACCGAUUGAAUGAUUUAGUGAGGUCUUCGGACCGGUACGCGGCGGCGCUUCCGCGUCGCCGAUGUUGCUGGGAAGAUGACCAAA